UACGAAGGGUGCAAACGUUGCUCGGAAUUAUUGGGCGUAAAGCGCACGUAGGCGGCUUUGCAAGUCGGAUGUGAAAUCCCUCGGCUUAACCAAGGAAGUGCAUCCGAAACUGCAGAGCUUGAGUACUUAAGAGGAUCGCGGAAUUCCCGGUGUAGAGGUGAAAUUCGUAGAUAUCGGGAGGAACACCAGUGGCGAAAGCGGCGAUCUGGGAAGAUACUGACGCUGAGGUGCGAAAGCGUGGGGAGCAAACAGG
rnacentral:rRNA from 1 species